CCUGCCCCUCCAGGACCUGCCCCAUGCAAGAUCCAGCCUGCGUGAAACUCUAAUCUCCAAUUUUAUUCGCUCGGCUCCAGCCGAUUUGCAUAAUCCACAUAAUCACCCCGGUUUUAAUUGCCUACAACUCUGCAGAAAGAUCAUGUGGUUAAGUGGUAAAUCAUAAUUAGAUAAAUAAUUGGCUUGGCCGCAGCAAGCUGCUUUGUUAUACCUGCCAUCUGCUGGGCAAGGGAUCCUGCGCCCAAAACAAUGCGCUGCUGCUGCUGCUGCACGCCUGCGCCAGCCUGGGGACCUGGGGGCACGGCCAUGUGGGCAUGGGAGGGCAGCCUGGGUGUGCCAGGCAUUGCCCUCUCUCGGGCUGUGCCGUGGCUGGGAGCACCGUGCUCAGUUUUGGCAGCACCUCCUGGUGCCUGGCUCCGACCCAGGGGCGGCUCCGUGGAGUGCCCGGUGCCGCCGUGCAGUGCCCUGUGGCAUCUGGGAAUGCCCAGCAGCACGGUGGGAUGCCCAGUGCAGCUGUGAAAGGCUCAGUGGCACUGGGGAGUGCCCGGUGGCACCAUUUAAUGCCACUGUGAGGUUCCUGGCAGGGCCAUUAGGUGCCCAGCAGGGCAGUGCCCAGCUCUCUCUCCGACCAUACCCGGAAUCCCAGUGCAAUUCCCAAAUCUCCUCCAGGCAGUUCCCAGCAUCCCAGUGUAAUGCCCAGUCUCUCCCUGGCAAUUCCCAGCAUCCCAGAGCAAUUCCCAAAUCUCCUCCAGGCAAUUCCCAGCAUCCCAGUGCAAUGCCCAGUCUCUCCCAGGCAAUGCCUGGCAGCUCCAAGGAGUGCCCAGUGCCCCACAAAGGCACUGAGCCCCAGAAGACAGCAGAGUGGAGGGGUGAGGGCUGUACCCCACUUCCCCCAAAGCAGAGGGAUACUCAGCACGCAGCUGGCACUUGGAUCUGGGCAUCAGGAGCCAAGAGGAGCUGCCAACCCAACCCUGAAGCUGCAGAGGGGAGUUCAGGGCCCAGCAG
rnacentral:lncRNA from 1 species